rnacentral:rRNA from 1 species
AAAGGCGUUUUUAGUCGCUUGUCCUGGACCCGAAGCGGGAUGAUCUAGCCCUGGGCAGGUUGAAGCGCGGGUAAGACCGCGUGGAGGACCGAACCCACCUGGGUUGAAAACCGGGGGGAUGACCUGGGGCUAGGGGUGAAAGGCCAAUCAAAUUCCGUGAUAGCUGGUUCUCUUCGAAAUGCAUUUAGGUGCAGCGUCACGUGCUGAUGCGCGGGGGUAGAGCACUGACAAGGCUAGGGGGCACACCCGCUUACCAAACCUUAUCAAACUCCGAAUACCGUGCAAUGGAACGUGGCAGUGAGACAGUGGGGGAUAAGCUUCAUUGUCGAGAGGGAAACAACCCAGACCAGCAGCUAAGGUGCCUAAAUAACGCUCAGUGGAAAGGAUGUGGGAUUACACAGACAGUGAGGAUGUUGGCUUAGAAGCAGCCACCAUUUAAAAAAUGCGUAAUAGCUUACUCAUCGAGUGAUCCUGCGCCGAAAAUGAUUGGCGAUCAAGCGUUAUACCGAAGCUCUGGACUUUGCCGCAAGGCAGAGUGGUAGAAGAGCGUUGCAUGCGCGUCGAAGGGCGAUGGCGACUGACCCUGGAGCACAUGCAAGUGAGUAUGCAGACAUGAGUAACGUUAAGCCGGGUGAAAUCCCCGGCCGCCGUAAACCCGAGGUUUCCAGGGCAACGUGUUUCGUCCCUGGGUUAGCCGGGACCUAAGCCGAGGCCGAGAGGCGUAGGCGAUGGACAUCAGGUUAAUAAUCCUGAGCUCGCAACCCUUAAACUGGGGGGACGCAUGAGAAAAGAUGACUAGGUUAUUGAAUUCCGAGUUGAGUCCACGGACUCAGCGCAUCAUUGGAUCGAGUGCCAAGAAAAGCCCCAGCGUAUGCUAAGCGACCCGUACCGCAAACCGACACAGGUGGGUGGGUAGAAUAUACCAAGGCGUAAGAGUGAAACCUGGUUAAGGAACUCGGCAAAUUAACCCCGUAACUUCGGAAGAAGGGGUGCCUGCAGCGAUGCAGGCCGCAGAGAAAUGGCCCAACCGACUGUUUAUCAAAAACACAGCACUCUGCAAAGACGCAAGUCGAAGUAUAGGGUGUGACACGUGACCAAUGCCGAAAGAUUAAGGCAAGGGGUUAGCCGCAAGGCGAAGCUCUAAACCCAAGUCCCGGUGAAUGUCGGCCGUAACUAUAACGGUCCUAAGGUAGCGAAAUUCCUUGUCGGGUAAGUUCCGACCUGCACGAAUCGUGAAACGAGUUGGGCACUGUCUCAACCAGGCGCUCAGUGAAAUUGUAGUGGCGGUGAAGAUGCCGCCUACCCGCAGAAGGACGGAAAGACCCUAUAGACCUUAACUGUAAGCUGUCAUUGUUUCUUCGGUUUUAAUGCUCAGAGUAAGUGGGAGACGCUGAAGACGCCCUUUAGGGGGCGUCCGAGUCAUCAAUGAGACACCACCCUUUGAAACUGGAGGAUCUAACCCUGAGCCGUGAAUCCGGCCAGAGGACCGUGUCAGCCGGUCAGUUUUACUGGGGCGGUAUCCUCCCAAAGAGUAACGGAGGAGCGCGAAGGUGGGCUCAGCCCGGUUGGCAACCGGGUGUCGAGUGCAUGGGCAUAAGCCCGCCUAACUGUGAGACCAACAAGUCGAGCAGAUGCGAAAGCAGGCCCAAGUGAUCCGGCGGUAGAAAGUGGAAUUGCCGUCGCUCAACGGAUAAAAGGUACCUUAGGGAUAACAGGCUGAUCACGCCCAAGAGUUCAUAUCGACGGCGUGGUUUGGCACCUCGAUGUCGGCUCGUCGCAUCC